CUUCAAAUUUUUCGAGUGUUGAGGUUAACAAUGAAGUAUUCACAUACAUAUUGAAUCACCUGUGAAAAUCAUCAAAUGAUCGAGAAAUCGAAUAAUUAUUUUGAGUUAGCUUCUACUCGAAAAAGUCGCAACGCAUUUAUUACCAAAUUACUCAACAAGACAUUGGGUAUUUAUAAUUUCGAUGGAUUUAAUUUAAACCUCGACCAUUCACGUGAGAUCUGCAGCUAUCAACCGAAUGAAAAAAGGAAUUUUGCGCUUCUUGUGAAAGAAAUGAAAGAGGCAUUUCAAUCAAAUAACCUUUCGUUGGCACUCUCAUUCAAGGGUAAUAAGGAUGCACUUGUAAAUGCUCUCGAUUAUGCAACUAUGCAACACUACGUUGAAUUCAUUCAAUUUAUUUCUGUUGAACCAACACAUCGAAAUACUAAUUCCAUUGAAAUUGUGAAACAAUUUCCACUUUUAAACAAUAUUAUUGAUAGUUUCAUUAAAUCGGGCGUGUCACCAAUGAAAACCAUUAUUGGAUUUCAGCACUUGUACAUAAAUUUACAUUCGUAGCUCGUUGUCGAUUAAGGAGAGAUUGGCACGAAGUUCUAGAUUGUGUUCAAAUUCCAGAGAAAAUUUCGGAGAUCAGAAGUCGCUGUAUUGAAUUCGAAUCAGCCCGAUCGGUUGCAAACCAAAUUCGACUACUUAUGAAACAUAACAUUGCUGGAGUAAAUGUUUACGCUUUGAACUUUUAUGAUUAUUUCAUGGGACCGCAUAUGGCAAUGGACACAUUUGCAGAUUUUAAAGCAAUCGAUGGUAUAACAAUAAAAAUUCCAGAACAAAGCGAUGACCAAUAUCCACUUGUGAAAACUAUAAACGAAGCAAUGUUAAUUACACAAAGCGAAAUCAUUCAAAUGGAAGAGACCAACAAAAUUGAUAAAUAAAAUACUCUUAUUUGUACUCUCUCGCAUUUUCGCAGCUAUUUGGAUUUCGAAAUAAAUACAUUUCUACUGCA